rnacentral:rRNA from 1 species
CAGUCGCCGCGGUAAUACAGAGGGUGCGAGCGUUAAUCGGAUUUACUGGGCGUAAAGCGUGCGUAGGCGGCUAAUUGAGUCGGAUGUGAAAUCCCCGAGCUUAACUUGGGAAUUGCAUUCGAUACUGGUUAGCUAGAGUGUGGGAGAGGAUGGUAGAAUUCCAGGUGUAGCGGUGAAAUGCGUAGAGAUCUGGAGGAAUACCGAUGGCGAAGGCAGCCAUCUGGCCUAACACUGACGCUGAGGUACGAAAGCAUGGGGAGCAAACAGGAUUAGAUACCCCUGUAGUCCAUGUCUCUUAUAU